rnacentral:rRNA from 1 species
UACAGAGGGUGCAAGCGUUAAUCGGAAUUACUGGGCGUAAAGCGUGCGUAGACGGUUACAUAAGUCGGGUGUGAAAGCCCCGGGCUCAACCUGGGAAUUGCAUUCGAGACUGCGUAGCUAGGGUGCGGAAGAGGGAAGCGGAACUUCCGGUGGAGCGGUGAAAUGUGUUGAUAUCGGAAGGAACGCCGGUGGCGAAAGCGAUCUGCUGGACCUCUUCUGACGCUGAGGCGCGAAAGCCAGGGGAGCAAACGGG